GACGAGGGGUCCUAGCGUUGUUCGGAAUUAUUGGGCGUAAAGCGUGUGUAGGCGGCCUAGCAAGUCAGUUGUGAAAGCCCCGGGCUCAACCCGGGAAGUGCUUCUGAUACUGCUUGGCUUGAGUACUGGAGAGGAUAGUGGAAUUCCAGGUGUAGUGGUGAAAUGCGCAGAUAUCAGGAAGAACACCUAUGGCGAAGGCAGCUCUCUGGGACGGUACUGACGCUGAGACGCGAAAGCGUGGGGAGCGAACAGG
rnacentral:rRNA from 1 species